GGCGGACGGGUGCGUAACGCGUGGGGAUCUACCUUGUAGUGGGGGAUAGCCCGAAGAAAUUCGGAUUAAUACCGCAUAAUCUCUACGGAGCAAAGUGGGGGAUCUUCGGACCUCACGCUAUUAGAUGAGCCCGCGUUGGAUUAGCUUGGUUGGUGGGGGUAAAGGCCUACCAAGGCGACGAUCCAUAGCUGGUUUGAGAGGAUGAUCAGCCACACUGGGACUGAGACACGGCCCAG
rnacentral:rRNA from 1 species